rnacentral:rRNA from 1 species
AUGAACGCUAGCUACAGGCUUAACACAUGCAAGUCGAGGGGCAGCAUGGUCUUAGCUUGCUAAGGCCGAUGGCGACCGGCGCACGGGUGAGUAACACGUAUCCAACCUGCCGUCUACUCUUGGACAGCCUUCUGAAAGGAAGAUUAAUACAAGAUGGCAUCAUGAGUCCGCAUGUUCACAUGAUUAAAGGUAUUCCGGUAGACGAUGGGGAUGCGUUCCAUUAGAUAGUAGGCGGGGUAACGGCCCACCUAGUCUUCGAUGGAUAGGGGUUCUGAGAGGAAGGUCCCCCACAUUGGAACUGAGACACGGUCCAAACUCCUACGGGAGGCAGCAGUGAGGAAUAUUGGUCAAUGGGCGAGAGCCUGAACCAGCCAAGUAGCGUGAAGGAUGACUGCCCUAUGGGUUGUAAACUUCUUUUAUAAAGGAAUAAAGUCGGGUAUGGAUACCCGUUUGCAUGUACUUUAUGAAUAAGGAUCGGCUAACUCCGUGCCAGCAGCCGCGGUAAUACGGAGGAUCCGAGCGUUAUCCGGAUUUAUUGGGUUUAAAGGGAGCGUAGAUGGAUGUUUAAGUCAGUUGUGAAAGUUUGCGGCUCAACCGUAAAAUUGCAGUUGAUACUGGAUAUCUUGAGUGCAGUUGAGGCAGGCGGAAUUCGUGGUGUAGCGGUGAAAUGCUUAGAUAUCACGAAGAACUCCGAUUGCGAAGGCAGCCUGCUAAGCUGCAACUGACAUUGAGGCUCGAAAGUGUGGGUAUCAAACAGGAUUAGAUACCCUGGUAGUCCACACGGUAAACGAUGAAUACUCGCUGUUUGCGAUAUACGGCAAGCGGCCAAGCGAAAGCGUUAAGUAUUCCACCUGGGGAGUACGCCGGCAACGGUGAAACUCAAAGGAAUUGACGGGGGCCCGCACAAGCGGAGGAACAUGUGGUUUAAUUCGAUGAUACGCGAGGAACCUUACCCGGGCUUAAAUUGCAGAUGAAUUACGGUGAAAGCCGUAAGCCGCAAGGCAUCUGUGAAGGUGCUGCAUGGUUGUCGUCAGCUCGUGCCGUGAGGUGUCGGCUUAAGUGCCAUAACGAGCGCAACCCUUGUUGUCAGUUACUAACAGGUUCCGCUGAGGACUCUGACAAGACUGCCAUCGUAAGAUGUGAGGAAGGUGGGGAUGACGUCAAAUCAGCACGGCCCUUACGUCCGGGGCUACACACGUGUUACAAUGGGGGGUACAGAGGGCCGCUACCACGCGAGUGGAUGCCAAUCCCCAAAACCUCUCUCAGUUCGGACUGGAGUCUGCAACCCGACUCCACGAAGCUGGAUUCGCUAGUAAUCGCGCAUCAGCCACGGCGCGGUGAAUACGUUCCCGGGCCUUGUACACACCGCCCGUCAAGCCAUGGGAGCCGGGGGUACCUGAAAAGGGUAACCGCGAGGAGCGCCCUAGGGUAAAACUGG